rnacentral:rRNA from 1 species
UGGGGAAUAUUGGACAAUGGGCGCAAGCCUGAUCCAGCCAUGCCGCGUGAGUGAAGAAGGCCCUAGGGUUGUAAAACUCUUUCAGCGGGGAAGAUAAUGACGGUACCCGCAGAAGAAGCCCCGGCUAACUCCGUGCCAGCAGCCGCGGUAAUACGGAGGGGGCUAGCGUUGUUCGGAAUUACUGGGCGUAAAGCGCGCGUAGGCGGUCCGCGUAGUCAGGCGUGAAAGCCCCGGGCUCAACCUGGGAACUGCGUUUGAUACUGGCGGGCUAGAGUUCGGGAGAGGGUAGUGGAAUUCCCAGUGUAGAGGUGAAAUUCGUAGAUAUUGGGAAGAACACCAGUGGCGAAGGCGGCUACCUGGACCGAUACUGACGCUGAGGUGCGAAAGCGUGGGGAGCAAACAGG